rnacentral:piRNA from 1 species
AAGUAGUUGAUUAUGAGGAAGUUGA